rnacentral:rRNA from 1 species
AACGUAGGUACCGAGCGUUAUCCGGAUUUACUGGGCGUAAAGCGCGUUCAGGCGGCUUGGCAAGUCGGGCAUGAAAUCUCUCGGCUCAACCGGGAGGGGCUGUCCGAUACUGCUGGGCUUGAGGGCAGGAGAGGGUGGUGGAAUUCCGGGUGUAGUGGUGAAAUGCGUAGAGAUCCGGAGGAACACCAGUGGCGAAAGCGGCCACCUGGCCUGCACCUGACGCUCAAACGCGAAAGCUAGGGGAGCGAACGGGAUUAGAAACCCCCGUAGUCC